ACGCUGGCGGCGUGCCUAACACAUGCAAGUCAACUUGAGGGAAGGAGCAAUCUGACCUGAUGGUGCGCAAAGGGUGCGUAAACGCGUAAGACUGCCCAAGGUAGGAAUAACGUCGAGAAAUCGGCGCUAAUGCCUCAUAAUGCAGCGGAUCCGCAUGGAUAUGUUGUUAAAGGUUUACCGCCUUGGGAUAGGCUUGCGUCUGAUUAGCUAGUUGGUGUGGUAAUGGCACACCAAGGCUACGAUCAGUAACUGGUCUGAGAGGAUGAUCAGUCACACUGGAACUGAGACACGGUCCAGACUCCUACGGGAGGCAGCAGUGAGGAAUAUUGGGCAAUGCACGAAAGUGUGACCCAGCAACGCCGCGUGGAGGAUGAAGGUAUUCUAUAUCGUAAACUCCUGUGAGAGCAGACGAAAGACAGAUUAUUAAUUUGGAUGACUGUAUGCUCAGAGGAAGCCCCGGCUAACUACGUG
rnacentral:rRNA from 1 species